UACGUAGGGUGCGAGCGUUGUCCGGAAUUAUUGGGCGUAAAGAGCUCGUAGGCGGUUUGUUGCGUCUAUCGUGAAAACCUGCAGCUUAACUGUGGGCUUGCGGUGGAUACGGGCAGACUUGAGUUCGGUAGGGGAGACUGGAAUUCCUGGUGUAGCGGUGAAAUGCGCAGAUAUCUGGAGGAACACCAGUGGCGAAGGCGGCAUCCUGGACCGGCAUUGACGCUGAGGCGCGAAAGCUAGGGUAGCAAACGGG
rnacentral:rRNA from 1 species